CGAAAUUUUUUGUUUAAAUUAAUCUAAUUUUUAUGAGUUUUGGGCGUGGGAUGAAAUUUUUUAAAAUUUGGGUGACUUUCAGGUGUUUCAAUAGCGCGUCGUGGAUUAAAAUUUUUGAAAAAUCUACAGCUCGAUGAUUUCAUAAAUAACAAUGGUUGAAGGUAGAAUCCGCAUCGUUGAAUACAGCAAAAUAAAAUUUUAUCGAUUUACCGUUUCGUUUUCGAGGAAUAAUUUCAGAAAGUUCAUAAACUUGGAUAGUUAAGGAUAGUUACCAAAGAAAAUAUGUAGUUAUAUUUUAGCUGUUCAAAUAAAUGGAAUCAAUCAAACGAGACUGUCCAAAGAUUGUGAUUCAAUCUGAGUCGUUUUAUAGGGUAUAAACUUUUUACAGGGACUGUCCCGCAACCACAACUUUAAAAAUUAAUCACCUCUAAUGCACUAAACUAAAUUAAUAUUGAUCAGCAAAUUAGGUAAUGGGGACAUAGAUGCCGGAGUCGGGAGAUAUCAUUAUAAAAAUAUUUUGCAAUAAUCCACAAUUUGUUGUUAUGUAUGUUUGUUGUUGUCAUAAGAAAAAUCGAACAAUAUUUAUCGACGAUUCAGCAAAUAAGUUUUUAAUGAGCUUUAAAAUUCUGCAUUAAAUUUUACCCUGUCAGUUGUCGAACGUCCCACAUCAAUUAUUGUAAUUAAAUUACUGGUUAAUAAUUCAUCCCCUCAACGGCUGAUUGUUUAAAUUUACCAAAAUUAUUAAAUUACAAAUUAUUUAUGUUUGAAUUGAAAGCAAAUGUGGAGCAAGUCGGUUACGCCGAACGCACCUUCUUGACGAUUAUCUUCAUUUGUUAAUAGUUAACGAAUUAUGGUCGAGGCUGAUUAACUCUUACCAUGAUUCGUUAACUAUUAAUGAAUCGAGGUAAUAGUUAAGACGCCUCAACCCCAGUAUUUUAUCCUGUGGCGAAUAAAAUUUUCGGAUAAAAUUUUUGUCGAAAAAUUGGCGUUAAAAAACUUGAAAUUGCGUUCAAUUUUUUCCUAAAAAAUCGGUUGUAUUUUAGGGCCAAUAUUAUACUUAAUAUUGUACAGUAAAAUAGGAAGGAGCCGAGUAAUUUUUGUCUGUCAUCGCACUAAGAUCUUAGAGUUACUGUUCAACCGAGUGAGCCGAUUCCCUCCGUCGCCUCGCGUUUUAAUCCAAUCACCGGUAAUAUAAUUUCACUGGUCAGAGACAUUAAUCUGUGAAGACUCCAUAACUUUCAAGAAGAUUAAGCGGUGGAUGGAAUACGAUUUACAACGUGUCUCAAUUUAUCUAAAUGAGAUGUUAACAAAUACUGUACACCCGCAUAGUCAUGAAAACAUUAGUUGCAGAACAAAGUUUUACUCGAUGAACACGACGAGUCAUGAUUUGUGGACUCGUCACUUCGGACAUGAGGAUAUUCCAAUGAUAAAUGUUUGCUAAUAUAUUACGUCAAUGGAGAAAUUUGCAAUCUCAAACCUUGACAAUAUUCAUGUCAAGUAUACAAAAUAUUCCCGAAGUAUGGCCGAGUGAAAUUCAGGCGAUAAAUUUAUAUUACGCAGCAUCCACGUUGCCUGCACCCAAUAUUCUCUCGUAGCUCACCCACAGCAAUAAAGAGAUGUGUCCGACGCAGGUGCACCAUUUUACGCAUAAACGCAUAUACAUUUACUGCAGGCCAUCGAUUUCCACUGCACCUAGUGCUACAAUGGCAGCAGUGAAUCCCGGGAUAAAGUGAAUCGUUUUAGGAACAUCCCUAGUGAGUUUGGAGGCUAUAGAGUGCGGGAAGAUGUCGAAGAAACAAAAGUAACAAAAAGGAAAUACUAGAAAGUCGAUGGGUCCAUUGAAAUUUUGUUGAUUCGGUGCCAUUUUGUGGACAACUCAUGGUGAAGUCAUUCGGAUAUAUUUUUAGGUGCACUAAUAUUUCAAUGAUUUUUGUAAUAAAUAAAAAUGUUCCCGCGAGAUUUGACAGCCACGGAUUUUCGUUCGAAACAGUUGGUAUUUCGCGAGUAUUCAAAACUGCAGUCGUUCUAUCGGCGAGAUGAA